GCAAACCUUUAUGUUGUUUGGGAGUGAGAAGAGCCAAGAAAUCUGUGCAUCAUUGUUGUUAUGUAGAAGUGACACAAAAUCGUUUCUGAAGCAAUUUAUACUACCACGUUUGUCAAUCAUUUUUAAAAAUUGACAGGCAGCAGCCAAUAGGUCCAGGAGAGAGUCUUUCCUAUGGAAUUGAACCCCUAUCAAUACCAAAAGUCAAUAUGAGGACUGCGCACACAAGCAACUUAAAUGUCAAUACGGACUCCAGGAAUUCAAGGUUCUUCUCCACUGGACAAAGUUAGUCUGGACAGAGAUUGCAGAGGAGGUGGGCAGCGAGGGUGUCCAGAUAUGAAGUUGAGUGCAGUGCCACAAAAGGAUGAACGAACUCCUUCAAUCAGCCAGGGUAGGAUACUAAAGAUAAAGAUUUAAAUUUCUACAUGGAAGGCAGCUGUGGCACAACUAACAACUUGUGAAACAAGAAGGCAAAGAAGGAAAUUAGAUUUACAUUGCGCC